rnacentral:rRNA from 1 species
GUCGUCCGUAGUAACCGUACGUGAUCCCUGAAAGCGCGGGGGCACGUGAGUAACACGUGGGCAACCUGCCUGUAUGACUGGGAUAUCUCCGGGGGACCGGGGCUAUUACCGGAUAAUUCUUUCCCUCCCGUGAGGGAAAGUUGAAAGAUGGUUUCUGGUUUCACUUACUAAUGGGCCCCCCGCCCAUUAACUUAUUGGUGAGGGAACCGGUCACCCAGGGCACCAUGCGUAACCCACCUGGGAAGGGGAUCCGCCACACUGGGACUGGAACCCGGCCCCAACUCCUACCGGAGGCAGCAGUAAGGAAUCUUCCGCAAUGGACCAAAGUCUGACGGAGCAACGCCCCGUGAGUGAUGAAGGUUUUCGGAUCGUAAAACUCUGUUGUUAAGGAAGAAACAGUACCGGAAUAACUGCCGGUACCUUGACCGUACCUAACCAAAAAGCCACCGCUAACUACCUGCCCACAGCCGCGGGAAUACCUAAGUGGCAAACGUUGAUCCGAAUUAUUGGGCGUAAAGCGCGCGCAAGGCGUUCCUUAAGUCUGAUGUGAAAGCCCCCCGCUCCACCCGG